UACGUAGGGACCAAGCGUUGUUCGGAAUUACUGGGCGUAAAGCGCACGUAGGCGGCUUUGCAAGUUAGAGGUGAAAGCCCGGAGCUCAACUCCGGAAUUGCCUUUAAAACUGCAUCGCUAGAAUUGUGGAGAGGUGAGUGGAAUUCCGAGUGUAGAGGUGAAAUUCGUAGAUAUUCGGAAGAACACCAGUGGCGAAGGCGACUCACUGGACACAUAUUGACGCUGAGGUGCGAAAGCGUGGGGAGCAAACAGG
rnacentral:rRNA from 1 species